rnacentral:rRNA from 1 species
UACAGAGGUCCCAAGCGUUGUUCGGAACCACUGGGCGUAAAGGGCGCGUAGGCGGCUUUAUAAGUCGGGGGUGAAAGCCUGUGGCUCAACCACAGAAUUGCCUUCGAUACUGUAGAGCUUGAGACCGGAAGAGGUAAGUGGAACUGCGAGUGUAGAGGUGAAAUUCGUAGAUAUUCGCAAGAACACCAGUGGCGAAGGCGGCUUACUGGUCCGGUUCUGACGCUGAGGCGCGAAAGCGUGGGGAGCGAACAGG